CACUAAGCUUGAAUGCUGGUGUCCAUGGA
rnacentral:piRNA from 1 species